rnacentral:rRNA from 1 species
AUUGGACGCUGGCGGCAGGCCUAACACAUGCAAGUCGAGCGCGAAAGUCUUCGGAUGAGUAAAGCGGCGAACGGGUGAGUAAUGCAUGGGAAUCUGCCUGGUAGUGGGGGACAACGUCUCGAAAGGGACGCUAAUACCGCAUACGCCCUACGGGGGAAAGGGGGGGAUCUUCGGACCUCUCGCUAUCAGAUGAGCCCAUGCCGGAUUAGCUAGUUGGGGGGGUAAAGGCCCACCAAGGCGACGAUCCGUAGCUGGUCUGAGAGGAUGAUCAGCCACACUGGAAGUGAAACACGGUCCAGACUCCUACGGGAGCCAGCAGUGUGGAAUAUUGGACAAUGGGGGCAACCCUGAUCCAGCCAUGCCGCGUGUGUGAAGAAGGCCUUAGGGUUGUAAAGCACUUUCAGUGGGGAGAAAGGUGAUUCACCUAAUACGUGAGUCAAUCGAUGCUACCCACAGAAGAAGCACCGGCUAACUCCGUGCCAGCCGCCGCCGUAA